rnacentral:tRNA from 1 species
GCCUUCUUGUUGAAAUGGUUAACACACUCGGCUCAUAUUCGAGAGGUCCAGGUUCGACUCCCGGCCAGGGCA